AAAAUUAAAAGAAUAAUUUGAAUAUUUUUAAAUUAAAAAAUACUGUUUUUAAAAUAAAUAUAUUAAUAAAAAAUCUAAAAUAUAAAUAUAUUUUAGGAAACGUGAACACCUAUUUAUAUUUAAUGACAUGAUUGUUGUUGUGACAUCUUCCACCUUAAGGAAGCCUUUUUAUUUUGCGUGCGGUAAGCUGACCCCAAGGCUCCCGACUUUGAGUUAUGCUCACCGUCGGUGGGAGUAAGAAUACAAAAAUUGGACGGUUUGGGUGCCAUUUAGAAUUGUUUGGGCUUCCUGUCACCGACCAGACCAUAUCCAUGGACUAUAUAAACCCUCGUUUCGGGGUCGCGUUCUUCUCCUCUGUCUUGCUCUAGAAUCCCCCCUCUGUAUCAUAUGGCGAUGGAUGGGAAGACUUGCUUCGCGAUCGCCAGCGACCGUCGGCACCGCCACCCGUACACUGUACCAGCAGCCGAUCUUUCGCCAUAAUCUCUAUCAACUGAGGGCAGGAGAGGUAUUUGAAGCCCCAGACAUCCCGCCGUCUCGUUGGCGCUCUGCUGUGUGAGAAAAGGAUCGCCUUUGCGAUUGAGAAAUUGGAUUUUUGUCUCGUCACUGCUGUUUGAGGCCUUCUCCUACUUAGUUUGCCACUAACGUUGGAAUAUUGUUACGAUGGGCGUUGCUUCCUAUUUGCUUCUUUUAACUCUUGUUGUGGAAUUUGCAGAUUCCAAACCUCAACCUACAAAUUGAAAGAUAAUGUUAACUGUAGUUAGCCAACAGAAUUGUCAACUGUGGUAAAAGAAAAAAGAUGAAUGAUAUCAUUUAACCUUAUAUGGUUCUUACUAGUGACUUUUGAAUGUUUUUGGUUCAGUCAGUAAGUUAUUGAUGUAUACUUAAUAGUAAUUAAACCUGCAAAAAGAUUAGACAAGUUUUUUGGACCUAGAUUCUUUUUGCCAGCAACAUAAAUUCAGCAUCACUAUGAUAGUUCCCUUGGUUCUACUUGAAGCCAUUUGAUAAAUGGAGAAGAAAUGACUUAAGUAGGAAUGGACAUAUGCAAUUCUUUUUUUUGCUCAUCAGGCUAAUCUAUGGAAUCCUUAUUUGUAAUCUUAAGAUAGUGGAGUUUCUCCAGAUAGUUUACAGGAUCAAACAUUAAUAAAUUGUUUUCGUCUUUGAAAUGCUUCAGCUAUAUAGAAGUUGUACACAUAUCCAAAACCUAAAUAAGAUCAUUUUCUGCUCAUGGACUUUUUCCUGAUUUACUUUCCUUGUUCACUCCUCCUAUGUAAUGUAACAUUGAUGUUCUCAUUAGAAGAUGAUCUUCCAUUCAUUUGUACAAUGGAUUGCCUUGAUGCCAAGUAUGCAAGUUUUCUCUUUGUUUGUAUUUGCCCAUGGAUCAGGCUUAGGUGUAUUUAUUGAAGAUAAUGGGUAGCAUUUUGUUGUUAGUAGGAGCCUUACUGUCACCAACAUUAUGAUGGAUAAAUAUUUACCAACAAAAAUAUUCCCGUUGUUCUUUUUUUUUUUUUUUUCUUGUUGCUUCAUGUAGAAUUUUACAAGUGCACUAAUAUUUUGUUUGAUUGUAGCUCUUUGGGAAAUCAUCCUAAAUAUAUUUUUUGUAAGUUAGCCAAAUUUUUUGUAGGUUAUACUGCAAUCUACUUGCAUAGAAAUGCUAAAAUGACACUGCCUUUUGUUUUGAUGCAUUUUUUUUCCACGGAGCAUACUUGACAAGUCCAAAGAGGGGAUUCUGUGCAGAAUGAUGUGCAAGAUAAAUCCCCAAAUCUGAAACAUAUUGUCUACAGAGCUGUCAUCAGCUCUACUACUAGAGCUACUUGAGGGCAAAAGAUCAGGAUCUUUAAAUUUACUUUAAGAUUGUUUACACUUAGCAUUGCCAUUUACUCUUAGUAAGUUAGAAUCAGUGAUCAAAUAGAGUAUUACUGGGUGUUCUCAAUUCAUUGAAGAGCAAAGUUUCAUUUUCUUUAUGUGGCUUACAUGAGUGAUAGCCAGCUUGCAGAAUUGAAAACCUCAUGACUUGUGACAUUGAUGCUUCUCAAGGAUUUAUUUGUGGUGAACACUAAGAUAUUUGUAUUGCUAGUAAGGCUCAAUAAUAGGUAAUAUGAAACAUAAUCAGUUACCAUGGCUAACUCCAUUCUUUGUUCUUUGAUGAUUGCUUUGCUAUUUUAGUUAUGAAGUCAAGGGGUUGAUGAGAAGGAAAACAUAGCCGUGUUUAGGUCAUGGAUAAUAUAUAGGUUGUGACAAUGGAUCAUCCUCUUGGGUAAGCCAAAAAGCCUCAGUUAAGACAUUUGAGAAAGACAACAAAGUACAUCAAAUGCAAGCUGGAUGUGAGGAUGAUGAGUGACAGAAUCAGACAUAUAGUGUAUGAAAUUAUGCAUCCAUCAAGGUUUGUUUUUGGAAAUGUGGUCAGGAGGAAGUUUUAAGAUGCACAUUUGUUUUGCUUCAUGGUGGAUGCACAAGUUUGCCUCCCUCUCUCUCUCUCUCUGUGUAUAAUGAAUGAUGUCUAACAAAUAAGAAGGAAGAAGCAUGAUGUUUGAUGACUGACUGUCAGUAUUAUCAUUUCGUUUGCAGGAAUUGAGCAUCCAAGAGACCAAAGAAGACAAAUGCCAAAAGAAACCAUUUAGCCCGAAAUAUCACAAAGAAAGCAGGACAUCACAUUCACUUAGAUCAUGACAGUGUAGUGCUGCUGUAUCGUCUCGAUGUCCAGCCCCUUUAGCUUCACCACAGACUCGACGUGGCCUUUUAGCGUGUGGAGCUCCCUCAGCCUGCAGCAGAAACAAUCGACUCAGUUCAUCAGCAUCAUGUACAUGUUGAUCACAGAAUCCUCAAAUGAAGGCUUUUGUUUGGUAGAUUACCGGGCAACCUCGGCGCGCCUCUUCGCCUGCUCGGCGAUCUCAGACAACUCCCUGUAGCUUGUCUUGUCGUUGAAGAGGUCGGAGGUGUCCGCGGGCUGCAAGCCAUGGAGGGUGCGCUGAGCCAGAGCCCACUGCGCCUCCCUCUCGCCCCUCCCGUGAAGAAGGGAAGGAGAAGCGUGUUGACCUUGUUCUCGAGAAGGUUGUCCCAGGCCUUGCCGCUGAGAGCGUAGCGGAUGAUGAACUUGAGGAUGUCGAGAGGGAAGUAGGUGAUCAAGCUGAAGAGCCAGAUGAUCCCAGCCCAUCCCCACCCGAUGCCCUGGAUUCUUGCGAAGCUCCACGACGCAUACACGGCGAUGACCGUCGCCACCUGCCAUUACAAGGUUUCAGCAAGGAAGAAAGAAAGACGAGUUGUCGAGCUUAUGGAGGACGCAGGAGUACCAGCUGGGCGGCGACGAAGGCGGCGACCAGCAGAAACCCGGGACGUUCGACGAAGGACCAGCUCCUCGACCUGGUGACGAAGAUGAGUGCCUGGCUGAUGAUACUGACCUGGAGGUAGAGUGCUGCCGUCAGCUCCUCUUGGUUGUCCUUGAUCGGCCUCACACCAAACUUCUCCUGUUUCGGAAAGGGCAUUGCCAUCGGUUAACAGCCACACUCUUGCAGCAACGAGGCCGGCGAGAGAGAGAGAGAGAGAGAGAGAGAUGGUGCUUCUACUCACAGGGAAGAAGUCGGUGGCAUGUGCGAGCCAGAAGAAGACGACGGUCAUUAUGGCAAGGUACGCUCCGAGGACGACUCCGGUGGCAAAGAUCUCCCGGAGCUUCCAUGAGUCGGGCAAGGGGGAGGGCUUCACCCUGUCCUUGGAGAUGGUCAUGAUGGUGCCGUCGUUGAGGAUGGCGAUGAUGAGGACCAUGAAGGGGGAGAAGUCGAAGCGCCAGAUGAGGGCGAUGAGCAUGAAGCCGAGCACGAUACGGAUGGUGAUGGAGACGGCGUAGAUGGUGUAGUUCUUCAUCCGCUGGAAGAUGGCGCGGCUCGUCAGCACCGCGCUCACGAUCACGCUCAGCCCCGGCUCCGUCAACACGAUGUCCGACGCGCUGCGGGCGGCGUCCGUCGCGUCCGCCACAGCGAUGCCGAUGUCCGCCUUCUUCAGAGCUGCAAACCAACAGAUGGUCAUCAGUGCAGCGCAGAGAAUCGAGACAGAGCAACCCAUGAGCUCGAUGUGCACUCAUCGUUACCUGGGAAGACUCCAGCAAAGCCAUCGGCCUUCUCGAUGAGCUCGUCAAUGGGGAGGCCGGUGACGUCGUCGUUCUUAUCGCCAAGAAGCGUGGAGGACGGGUACAUGUUGGUUCCCAUGCCGAGCCGACGCCCAGUUUCCUUGCCAAUGGCAAGUUGGUCGCCGGUGAUCAUCUUGACGUUAACGCCGAGGUGGAGGGCUUGGCGGAUGGUCUCGGCGCUGUCGUGCCUCGGAGGAUCAAAGAGGGGCAAGAGGCCUAUGAACUGCCAUGGAUCGCCGGCGCUCUCCUUGUUUGCCUCAGGCACCUCCUGCCUCGCCACACCCAGAGCGCGAAGGCCACGUUCGGCGAACUUGUCGAUCAUGGCAUGCACCUUCUUCUUGGCAUCGUCUUUCAUGUUGCAGAGAUCAAUGAUCUGAAGGAUGCAAAGAAAAGCAUUAGGCAUUUCCUCGAGAAGAUGGAAGACGGACGUCGAUGAAGGAUCAAAGAUAUGUAGAACCGUCCUACCUGCUCGGGUGCACCCUUGCUCGAUCGGUGCCACUUGCCAUUGGAGUCGAUGUACGUGAUUGCGGUGCGCUUGUCGACCGGAUUGAAUGGCAGGAAAUGGACCUCCUGGAUCCCUGCACGUGCCUGCAAGCGCAAAGAUGAUGA